AUGAGAUAAUCUCCUUGAUAAUUUUAACCUUUGAGGAACAUUUCAAUCGUGUAUUAUUAUAACUUUUUUCGUUCAACUUUAAUUGAUGAAACAUAAUAAACAAAUAUAUACAGAGUGAUAUUUGAUACAACCAUUCUGUUAAUCAAACACAUUCUGAUAAGGUUAACCAGAUGUUGGACACAUUUCAAAGAUAGUUGCUAUGGUAAUUAAGAUUAUAGAAAAUCUAAAUGUAAUGGGAUGGUCAUCUUUGAGGUUAUUUCCUGUCGUCUAUUUGUAACUUCCGAAAGCAGUGAAAACAAAGAAAACUAAAAGAGAAAAUUACAGUUCAAAGAGAAAGAAACAUGUAAGUUGUAAUUUUAAAAAAUCGUAAUUGAUAUACGGACUCGACUGAAUCUUGUUUUUUUGUCCUCGGCAAAACUUUGGCAACACAAAAUCUGUAUUUGAAUAGUUUGUAGGAGUAAAUAUCACAAAAAGUUGAAGACGCUACUUCUUUAAAUUAUAUGUAUGCAGGGUUAUAAUAAAACAUUAGGAUAUCAUGGAAAAGUGAAAAAGAUAUAUUUUAAACAAAAUGAAAUGGCAUGUAUAUGUAAAAAAAGGGGGUAAAAUGUGAAAAAAAUAUCAUACGGAAAAAGUCUAUACAAAUUUGCAGACAGAUUCGUGUAUGAAUUACUUGAAGUAGAGUUUCUUUUUAAUAUACAAUUUUACAUUCUCAUAUAAAUUUAUAGAUCUGGUAUUUGAGAACUACAGAAGACAAAUUAAAGCAGAGUGCAGAAGGAAUUUUAAUAAUCAUUGAUAAUAUUCUGGCUUCAAAAUGCAUGGAAAUGGAGAUGGGACAAAAUGCAUUCUACCAUUUGAUAGCCCAGAAUGAAUUACUUUAAAAGGCUAACAAGAAGAGGAGGCUCGCAGUAGAAGAUACAGACUCUGAAUAAUUAAUAAAAUGUUAAAAUGCUAA